rnacentral:sRNA from 1 species
GCCAGGUACGGUGGUGCACAUCUGUAAUCCCAGUUUCUCAGGAGGCUGAGGCAGGAGGAUCACGAGUUCAAAGCCAGCCUCAGCAAAAGUGAGGUGCUAAGCAACUCAGUGAGAUCCUGUCUGUA